rnacentral:lncRNA from 1 species
GAUCUCCUGACCUCGUGACCUGCCCAGCUCGGCCUCCCAAAGUGCUGGGAUUACAGGCAUGAGCCAUUGCGCCUAACCUCAGAAACCAUUUUUAUAACCUCAAUACCUAAUAGAAACUGGCACAUGGACUGUGUGCGAAAUGUUCAAACUUGCUCACUGGGUUAAAAAGGAUGGACAGCUUAGAGAAAAAGAAGAAAAAAAGGAAACUCGGCUGUGCGCAGUGACUCAUGCCUAUAAUGCCAGCACUUUGGGAGGCCAAGGCAACUUUGCAAAUUAAAUGGUUCACAUAUGAAGGAGCACAGCUGUAGAAGGAAAAUAAGGAAGAGAAAAUAACUUCGGAAAAUUCCCAGGACUCAUACUCUAAAGCCCCUGUGAGCUGUGACUGCAAGAGUCAGCACCUAAAUUAGAUCAACACUACAACAUCAAAAAGCCAGCUUGAUGGCACAGCGGGGAGUGAGGAAGACUCGGUGGACAAAUCUGACUGGAAAACAAGUAGGCGUUGCAGAUGAAGACCUGGAACCAUGGUAGGAAGUGGGACAGGGAGCAUUUGGACAAGCUGUUCAAGAACUGAUCAUGCUCAUGUGUAUGGGAAAACAGAUGGAGGAAGAGAAAUUCCUGAAGAGCACAAGACUGGUGGGGCAAGGAACAAGCCUACUGAGAUGAGUUGCAGAUUUGAAGAUGGGAGAAAUGGUUUCGUUGUCUACCAUGUAAAAACUCAUUUAUGCAAGAUGCUUGAUAUCUGAAUUUCAAUUUCUUCAUUAUCAAAAUGAAUAUUAAAAAUACUCUACUUCUUAGAGUUGUCAAAAAGAU